AGAGUUUGAUUAUGGCUCAGGAUGAACGCUAGCGACAGGCUUAACACAUGCAAGUCGAGGGCAGCAUAAAAGUAGCAAUACUUGGUGGCGACCGGCGCACGGGUGAGUAACGCGUAUGCAACCUACCUAUCAGAGGGGAAUAACCCGGCGAAAGUCGGACUAAUACCGCAUAAAACAGGGGCACCGCAUGGUGAUAUUUGUUAAAGAAAUUCGCUGAUAGAUGGGCAUGCGUUCCAUUAGGUAGUUGGUGAGGUAACGGCUCACCAAGCCGACGAUGGAUAGGGGAACUGAGAGGUUGGUCCCCCACACUGGUACUGAGACACGGACCAGACUCCUACGGGAGGCAGCAGUGAGGAAUAUUGGUCAAUGGGCGGGAGCCUGAACCAGCCAAGUCGCGUGAAGGAAAGAAGGAUCUAUGGUUCGUAAACUUCUUUUGCAGGGGAAUAAAGUGCAGGACGUGUCCUGUUUUGUAUGUACCCUGAGAAUAAGGAUCGGCUAACUCCGUGCCAGCAGCAGC
rnacentral:rRNA from 1 species